rnacentral:tRNA from 1 species
GACCUCGUAGCUCAAUUGGAUAGAGCGUCGGCCUCCGGAGCCGAAGGUUGCUGGUUCGAUCCCAGUCGAGGUCGCCA